ACACCUAGUAAGCAACAGACUACAAACAGCAUGUUUAAUAGGCCUCUCAGCAAAAGCUUUUAAAAAUGCACGCAGGCACUUCAUACAUAUUCCCAAUUGUUGGACAUUUUGCUAGCAUUUUCACAUUGAUUUCCUCACAGUAGGGCAAUGACUGAAAGUGUAGUAAGAUGCAUACUGAGAAAGAAUGGCUAGCUAUAAAUGAUAAUUUGAUCUUUUUCUUCCCAGAUGUACUUUCAUAUUGUUGUGGGUUUGUGUGUGGGGGGGGGGGUGUGUCAGUCUAGAAUGUCCUGAUUCUCUUCCAGUUCUUGGAAUUCUGUACCCAGUGAGAGCAUCCAACAGAGAAGUUUGAAGAACUGGUCAGACAAGUUUUUUAUAAGACCUUAGCUGGCCACUUAAAGAAUGAGCUAGGUUGCAACUAAGUGAUGGUGCCCUCCAGGCUAAUGGGUGGGUCUUGCCUCACCUAGCUGCUAGGUAGGAGAACAAUAGCUGGAGUGUGAGAGAGAGAGCUGAACUGAAGCAGGCUGAAAGCUGGAGACAUGCUUGAUCUGUGCUGGAUCCAAAUCUGUGAUUAAUAGAGAAACAAGAUAUGUUGGGGAGUUAAUACUGCGAACAUCUCCAUCUUAUGCAGGGAUCAGCAAACUUUUUCAGCAGCGGAGGCUGGUCCCCUUCCCUCAGACCUUACGGGGGGGCCCAGACUAUAUUUUUUUUUUGGGGGGGGGGGAAAUGAUGCAAGAGCACCACGAGCCCCUGUGGCUGCUUACCUGUGUCUUGUGAGCAGCAGGGGCUGGCGGUGGCAGAGGGACGAUGAGCAGCACACAAAAGGGCUCCAGAGAGGGGCCGCUUAAAAUGGCGGCCGCUUGAGCGCUGCUGCUGCUGGCACCAACAAAGCCCAGCCCCCUUCUGCCUCUAGGCAGGGCGGAGAGAAGCCAGGAGGAGGGAGGGAGGAGGGAAAGAAUGUGUGCACUGGUGAUCCACGUGGCGAUCCCCGAACCGUCUGCGGGCUGGAUCCAGAAGGCAAUUGGGCCUGAUCUGGCCCGCAGACCUUAGUUUGCCUACCCAUGAUCUUAUGCUUAGCUUGUACAUAUGUGUCAAUAAAACCAUAUCACCUGCAGGCAUCACAGUCUCUGCCGACCCUCAUUCCAAGACAACCAAACCCCAGGUAAGCAUUGGAACCCCUAAAAAUCUCUCACCACUUGGAGAUUGGGGCUGGCAUGGAGCAAUGUUUUUCAUUCUAACUGUCUAUCCUAAGAUGGAUUUUAUAGCUAAGCCUGCCGGUGGAAUGUCUAAUGUGCUGGAAUUGCAAUACAAAGACAGUCUGUCUGUAGCAGUUGCCCCUGGCAAUCUGGCAAGCCGAAUUGUAGAUUCUAGCAGGCUAUGGAGACCUUUGUCUUCUCUGGUCCACCGGACUGGGGCUUGCAUACCCUCCUGGUACCACCAUACCAAAUAGUUCUGUCACCAGAGUUUCAGUUUCACCACCCCUUUCACCAGCUUGAUUUAUACCAGGUUAGCAGGUCAUAUGGUCUAGCUCAGGGGUCAGCAACCUGCGGCUCCGGAGCCACAUGUGGCUCUUUUACACCUUUGCUGCGGCUCCGGGGCGGAUACUAGCAAGGGGAGGUGGCGCAUUGUGCGCCCCGACACUCCCCACUGUGGCGGGCGCUGUACUGGCUGUGACGUCGCAUGGGGGCGGUGCGUGCGUUAGUCACGCACCGUCCCGACGUCACCUUCCCGCCCGCCUGCUACAUUAUAAGGGGCAUGUACGCUGGUCACUGCAUUGGAAGGGGGCAUGUACGCUGGUCACUGUUUUGAAGGGGAGUGAAGAACACACACACAAAAAAAGGUAACUUGUUAAUUUAAUGUUUAUUUCUAUGAGGAGGAGUAAUUCUGAGGGGUCAAACAAAGAAAUAAUAAAAAGUGACAAAAAAGUUAUUUUUAUAAUGACAAGUUUUGUGGCUCCCAGUUUUUUUUCCUUCAGAAAUGGGUCCAAGUGGCUCUUUUUGUCUUAAAGGUUGCAGACCCCUGGUCUAGCUGAACAAACUUAGGAUCCCAUCUAAGUCCCCCUUCAGGUUCCUCACCAGCCCUAAGGAACACCUGCUUUCCAGGGCUUAUGCUAGUUUAAAAUCUGCCCAGAUCAGUUUUGCUGGCUGAGCCCUGGCUGAGCUGAAUGAAGAACUCAGGUUUAACAUAACUUCAGCUAAACCAGGGUUUGGGAUUUAUAUAACCUAUCUGAGCCAUAACCCUCCCUUGCUCAGUUGGAGAUUCACUGGAUCCUAGCUUGCUCAUCCCAGCAGAUCAAGCCUUAAGAUUGCACCCUAGGUGGUUUAACGGGGCAACAAAAAGAAAAAAUGUACAUUGCAAUCCAUUCCCCACUUUCCUGAGAGUAAGACCCAUUGGACUCAAUAGUACUCAUUUCUGAGUAGACAGUGAUUAGGAAUUCAUUGUUAGCGAAACAUGCCUGGGAUAAAUACAAUCACCAAUCCUCGGUUUGUUAGAUUUCUUAAUGGAUGGAUUUAAUUGCUGUGCUGGUUGACAAGACUGUAGCAAACUGCAUGCAAAAAAAUCAGCUAACCUCUCUUGCUUUCUAAUAUACUGUAAUAGGAUAACUGCCUGCCUCCCAGCAGGGUCUGGGAAGAAGAACCUGCUGGAAAUAUCCUAAAAUGGCUACCCAGAUUGUAAUAGUUGCAGCCCUCUGGGCCCAAACUGCAUUUUAUAUUCUAUAAUCCCAGUUCCUGUGCGUUCAUACAUGGCUAAUUUUUUUUCCUGGGGUGCGGAAGAACAUCCCUAAAAGCAUAUUACAACAAGAAGAUAAGCCGUGCUGCAUUUAAUAACUUUAUGUGGUCUGAUGAUGAUGGUUAAUCACAUUUGGCUCCAGUUGUGCAGAAUGUAUUUUAGUGCGUUUGCCUAGGCUGAAGCCUUCCUUUGGAUAUCGUUUAGUUAGCUAGUCGCAUUUCCCUGUUAUCCGUUUGAUAUUGUCACAUGAUUUGAGGGUGUUUCUCCCCCUCCCACCAUGAACCAUGUAAGAGUUAAAGCUUUCCCUUUCCAUUUCAGGCCUGGCUCAAAGUGUUUUGCCUUCAGAAAUAAGGCAUUUUUGAGGGAUAUUUGUUCCUGCCAUGCCAGCAUGGGCAUAACCAGAAUUUAUUUUAGGGGGGCUUUACUGAAAUGCAGAUAGGCUAGGCACAUAUUUUAACUGACAGCUUCGAUGUCAGCAGUGCCCAGGUUCUAUCGCUAGUAAUCUGUUUGGGGUGAUUUGAACACUUUGCAUAUUCAUUUCUCCUUUUAAAUAAGCAGCUCAGUUUUAAAGGAAGUUGUUCUGAAUGUGCUCUGAGGGGCAUCACCAACCGGCAGGCAUGUACCUUAACAACUGUCAUUGUCCAGUGUACUAAUAUAUUGCAGGCAAUAUUUUCGCUAGCCUGCAUUUACUGGAGUUAGAAAAUCUGCUUGGAUCAAAUGAAUCAUUGUGAACUAACAAGGGCAAGAAGUGAGUCACCUAUCAAAUUAAUUUUAUCUGUCUGCACUCAGCUCCAGGGUACGUGACUACACUGCACAAAAUACUCUGGUUGGCCUUUCUACUUAGAUGGAAGAAAACCCAAUUUCAUACUUGGUUCUCGUCUCUAGUGAAGUAUCCAGCUUGUUGCAAAUAAGAGCUCUCAUGGGAGCGGGCUAUAAUCAACUUUAAAAGCAGAGAGACCCGUUUUCACAGAAUUGGGGACAGAGUUCUUAUAUAUGAAGCUACUGUACACUUGAAGGCAAUCAGUAGUAUACUGUAGUAUACUCAGGGGUAGGGGGAAUGAUUAAGAUGGUUCACCCCAGGAAGCUGAUGGAUAUGGAUGGUUUCCUGAUGGCUCUUCAGGGGUUUCCUGUUACCUUAGCAGGCAAUUCUGUCAAAGCCCUGGUGGACCUCUGGAAUGGAGAAAUGACCAGAAUGGUGGACAUGGUCGUUCCUGAGUAUACCCUCUCAGAGAGUGGAGACAGCCCAGCCCCCUGUUUCUCGAAGGACUUGGUGAUUAUGAAACUCAUGUUGGCAGAAAACUUGGAAUGAAUCCAACCGAGUACAAGCUACAGGUUAUUUGAAGUCCAGUGUGGUGUAGUGGUUAAGAGUGGUAGACUCAUAAUCUGGUGAACCGGCUUUGCGUCUCCACUCCUCCACAUGCAGCUGCUGGGUGACCUUGGGCUAGUCACACUUCUUUGAAGUCUCUCAGCCCCACUCACCUCACAGAGGCUUUGUUGUGGGGGAGGAAGGGAAAGGAGAUUGUUAGCCACUUUGAGACUCCUUCGGGUAGUGAUAAAGCGGGAUAUCAAAUCCAAACUCCUCCUCCUCCUCUUCUUCUUCUUUUGCAGCAAUGCAGGCAGUGAAAUGUCUCCCCCCCCCCACCUGCAUUGUGUUAUCAAGGAGCCAUCUAGCAUGACUGUUUUGAGUGGUCCAGGGUCUUUUACACUUUGGUCCACGUGAGGAGCAGUUAGACCACUUGCUGUGAACAAUUUGCUCAGCACUUUGCUGACAAAAUCAGCUCCAUUCUGACUUGGAUGUUAUAGUUUACAGGUCUGGUGCAGGUAAUUUGGCACCUUAGUUGUCCAGUGUUAAUGGAUACUUUUCAACUUGUACAACCCAAGGAUGUGAAUGGGAUCCUUGGAAACAGGGCUGGUCCAAGACAUUUUGGCACCUGAGGCGAACCACAAAAUGAAGCCCUGCUCCCCACAAGGGAAGAAGGGGUGGGUGGAGAACUACAUCAGGAACAAGGGGGAAAUGAAGAUCUACAUCAGGCUCUGCUGCCCCUGUGGAUCCUGCCACUGAAGGCAGUCACCUUACCUUGCCUCAUGGGUGGGCCGGCACUGCUUGGAAAUGUGAGAGCUAGAUCCUUGGCUUUCCUGGCUCAUCAAAAAAAUCCAGCAGUUGAUUGGUUGAGUAGGUGAAGGGAGUGGUCAUUGCCUCCUUGCAAUAAGCAGAGUUUCAGCAGGCCUAAAGGACACAGUUAUAAGAUCCUUCUAGAAUCCCACCAUAUUGGAUAAUUAUUAACCAGUUUCCAAUAUCCCAAUCUGAGGCAAGCUACCAAGUUAUCAGAGACGCGGGUGGCGCUGUGGUCUAAACCACUGAGCCUAGGGCUUGCCGAUCAGAAGGUCGGCGGUUCGAAUCCCCGCGAUGGAGUGAGCUCCCGUUGUUCGGUCCCAGCUCCUGCCCACCUAGGGGUUUGAAAGCACGUCAAGUGCAAGUAGAUAAAUAGGUACCACUCUGGCGGGAAGGUAAACGGCAUUUCUGUGUGCUGCUCUGGUUUCACCAGAAGCGGCUUAGUCAUGCUGGCCACAUGACCUAGAAGCUGUUUGCGGACAAAUGCCGGCUCCCUCGGCCUAUAGAGCGAGAUGAGCGCCACAACCCCAGAGUCGUCCGUGACUGGACCUAAUGGUCAGGGGUAUCUUUACCUUUACCAAGUUAGCUCUUGAAUUGUCGGAAAGGAGCCACAGUAAUAUGCAGGACACAUCCUCUGCGUGCAGUAGACCCUGGUUCAAUCCCAGGCAUUUCUAUUUCAAAGUAGCAGCUGAUGGGAAAUACAUCUGUUAGCUUGUGAAGUGUCAUAGCUCAGAGGAGGAAGAAGAGGAGGCGGCAGCAGCAGCAGCAGGGUGCUCAGGCCCCAGCCUUCAUCCCUCCUGCCACCCUCAGCCACUGACUCUGUCCCACUGGGCCCAGCAUCACCCUCACUCCGCUGGUACCUAGACCAGGUCUACAGCCAAGGCCGAGCUCAAUAACAAGUACCUGCCUGGACUCAUGGCUGAGGAGGACAGCCUGGACCCUUCACUUCCCCAUGUCAUGCAACUGCUGCAAGCUAAUAAAUGUCCCUUCCGCAUAAGGGAAGGUAGGGGAGAGCGGCUGUUAUCAUACCUUCAAGUGAGCUGAGACUUGUUUCAUUGAUGUUGUUAAGGCUACCUUCUGGGCACUGUAGUAGCUGCUCAGCUCAUUUGAGCAGGGAAGAUGAAACCUAGGUGGAUAUCCCUGGUUUAGUCCCCUUUCCUGUAUUCUUAAAAUAAUGAAAAAAGAAUCAAUAACAAACUAUGAUUUCCAGGAUUCUUGGGGGACGUAAUUUUCUGAUUCACCUCAGGCGCCAAAACAUCUUGAACCGGUCCUGAUAUAAAUGCAUUUAUUAGUGAAAUAACAUACAACGCCACAUUAAAUGAGAGAAAAUUGCUUUGCAAAAGUGUAUAUUAGACAAACUGGCAUAUAAAAUGUGUAUAUUAGGAGAAAUUUGCACUGACGUGGUGCAAAAGAAAUCAUAAACCAAAUGUGGAGAAUCAAACCUGGAAAAAUGGGAAACUGAAAGCCCGAAAUUGACAUCCUCACCCAUCCCAACACGAAGCUUAAGAUUCAGUAACAGGAAGCUAAAACAGCAACUGCUUCCCUGUGGUUCCUCACUUCUCAUUCUCCUGCUGGCAAGACUUCAGGAGCUCUCUACACAUGGCCGGUUGCUGCACUGAACUGUCCCUGACAAAUUGAUGAAAGAAAAAUUGCGGGUUGAAGUUGGCUUCAUUUCGCACGAGGACCACAAUUCAAUUACUUGGACCAUACUACUGUGAGGUAGAGGGUUAUACACAGAGGAAGAGAAAGCUACUAAAAUCCAAACAAAAAGUGGGAAGGAAUUGAAUAUUGUGUGACUGGAGGGCGUAGGGAAUAUAACACAUAGUAAGGAGGUUUCCACCCCACCCACAACCACCAUUUACUUCUGCCAGGGUCACCUGUCACUAUUGGGCAGAAUGAGGUGAUAUUGACUGUUGUGGAGGGCAGUAAAUUGCUAUUUAAUUUGUCAUUAUUGUUAUUUUUCUGCCAGAGAGGGGGAAAGGUAAGGUGCUUUGAGAGUUUUCUGCCUCAGGCCACAAAAUAUCUUGGUUGUGCAUACUUGGAUACAACAUACUUUGAUGUGGGGCAACAUUUGCAGUAACUCUGCCUCAGGCACCAAAAUAUUUGGGAUGGCCCUACCUCCUGUGGUUACUUAUAUUCUGAGGUGUGGGUGCUUAAGGGGAAUUGUUGAAUUAUUUGGGUGAGGGUGCCAGGUUUAUUCCCAGCAUGUCUUUAAAAAAAAAUGGGUGGAGGGAGUCCCAAACUAGGAGCAAUAAAACAGCUCAGGAAACAAAUGCAUGGAAGCUGAUUUAGUUUGUUAUUAGGGACAUUUAUAAAAAUGUCACUUAGGAAGCACCUGAAGAUGGCAUUUGUAGGUGGUGAAAGGGUCAAAUUCAUGUUACAGUAUAUUCAUAUUACAACAGUAUAUUGUCAGUUGAUAAUAUUUCUCUAUGUACUUUGACAAGAAGUUAAGUGAAGGCAAAUCAGCUUUCUCCCCUCUGCAGCAAGAAUUCUGCAUACUACAUUUCUAGAUCAGAGCUGCAGCUAUGGUAGCAGUUAGGGGACCGCUGCUCCCAUUCCUGCAUAUACCCUCUUUGUAGUAAUCUGUUUCUUCACAAAUAUACAGGUUAAGUAGAGGCACAUUGCAUAGGGAGGAAGACUGUGCUAAAAGCUAGCUCAGUUCUUUACUUGGAAAUUAGCAGCCAGCUGCUUCCAUGCUUCAUGUUGAAAGACACCUGAGGGGUAUGUGUUUGUGUGUGUUUGCAUGUGUGUAUAACUCUAAGUGUGAAGGGGUGUGUGAGACAGAUACAGACAGAAAAGCAAUGAGAGAAGGGAGCAGAGCAAAAUAGGAAGAGUAAAUAGAUUUUUCCUGAUACAGACUGUGUACACAGUCCUGUUUACUCUGCAUCAAGUGUGCUCCCGAUGCUGGUUUGGGAGGUGGUGAGCACACAACGUUAACCACAGUCCAUAUCUGUCCCGUCUCUAUCCAGAUUUCUUAUGAAACAACACAUUUUGAUGCAUCUGCCUUUCCCUGCAAAAGCAUAUGCAAUCUGAAUCAAGAAAAAGAAUGACCUGGCUGUGUUUUAAGAUGGUAAUGUGUACACAGCCACUGAUUGCCCCAAUCCUGUAAUUUCCAACCAUUUAUUUUUAUUCCACUUUCCUACAAGACUGUGCCCAAAGCAGCUCACAAGCUAUCACCAGUGUUGGUGUAAUUUAAACAGUGGGUUAACUUUCACCAUGCUUGGUCUCAUGUCUUGAGGAACACACACCCCAUUCUCCAGAUGUUCAGAGAUAAGAGAGAAGGUGCACAGGGGUACCUGCGUAUUAUUUGCUGAGUCAUUCACCCUCCCAUUGGUUAAUGAAAUAUGCCUAGGUUUAGAGAUGAGUAUAACUGUCUCUAGGGCAUUGCUUUCAUUAAGUUGUCCUGAUGGUCGUAUCUUGAUGUCCUGUCCUGCUGCAUGUCCUGCUUGCUGUCAGUGUCUGGUUCAUAAUCUGUGAAAGUCAAGGGAAGAGGUUGUGGGUUUUACACAGCAGUGUUAGUUAGCAUGGUGAUAGUGUUAGUGGAUCUGUAGCAGGAGUGCCAGCUUGGCCCCACAACCAUGGGUGCCAAAUUUUGGAGCCGGGGCCCCCGGAAGCCAUGGUUGUGGGGCCCUGGCUCUGAAAUUUGUGGGUACCCAGUCCCUUCAUGAGGAAUUUUGUGGGUGCUCGGGCACCCAGGGCCCCAGGGAGUUGGCACAUAUGGUGCCAAACAUGCAGAAACACAAUUUCUAGGGCAGUACAGUGGUGCCUCGCAAGACGAAAUUAAUCCGUUCCGCGAGUCUCUUCGUCUUGCGGUUUUUUCAUCUUGCGAAGCAUGGCUAUUAGCGGCUUAGCGGCUAUUAACGGCUUAGCGGCUUUAAGAAAAAGGAAACAAACUCGCAAGAACUCGCAAGACGCUUCGUCUUGCGAAGCAAGCCCAUAGGGAAAUUCGUCUUGCGGAACGACUCAAAAAACGGAAAACUCUUUCGUCUUGCGCGUUUUUCGUCUUGCGAGGCAUUCGUCUUGCGAGGUACCACUGUACAGUUAAAGACCGGGAUAAAAAAAUCUACAUGCAAAAGGCUUGUUGGUAGAGGAAGGUCAUCAAUAGACAUCAAAAAGACAACAAUAAAAUGCUGAUCAAUCUAUACAACUUUCUUUAAAACAAUAAAAAUAAACUGACCUAAUCCACUAAUUUAAAACUGCUUAAUUCUACCACUAAAAUUGUUGAAAGGCCUCGCAGUUCAUUCAUCUCACCACGCCUAAGGCAAACAAUGAUGAACUACUAUUAUCAUUAUUAUUGUUAGCAGUCUUGUUGUGUUUAUUACCCACUUUCCAGGGCAGGUUGCAAAAAAAUUAAAUACAACAUUAGCAACAAUUUAAAACAGCAGACAAUCACACAAAAAUUGUAAUGAGACUCCCUGUCAUAAUUCCCCAGCCUUCACUUAAUCCUUCAAGAGAAUGGAUUUUAUUUGGAACCCAAGAUGGGAAGCAUGGAUUUUUAAACACAGCAUGUAUCCUUUGGAUCUAGAGUUCCCUAUAUGCAGCCACAUGUUUUUUCCCCAUUUGACUGAUAGAGGCCUGAUCGUAUUGACAUCACAAUACGAUGUAACAACGCUGCUUUGCGGCUCCUCGCAUCUCUCUGUGGCUUCAUUGCAAUUUCAGCCUCUCCUGAGAGCUGCCAGGGGAACAUACAUUCAUCAGUAAAGCAUCUGGUGCAGAACAUUAAGCAGCCUGCAGUCCACUUGUUUACAAUAACAGUAUCAGCUGUUCGCAAUACUACACGUCAAUCUAUGUAGUGAUACAGUGAAAUAUAGAUAAUAUGACCUGGAGAGGCAGAGCUGCCUGUUACCUGUCAAAUCUUCAGCAUUUGCGUAAAACGGCGUAGAUGGUUCACUUAAUGCUUUGCCUGGAUUCUGUCAUAUAUUGACUUAACAGUCACAAACACAAGCCCCAAGCAGAUUUCCAAAGGCAAAUCUUAACAAUAGGCCAUGACGUCCAUAGCCCAGGUCAUCACUAACAAAACAAAUUAAGCAGAAUUGCUUAUUUAAAAUCAAUCAGAGCGUCUUCCUUCCAGCAUAAUACUUUCACUCUACUAUAGUAGAGUAAUAGUACAAACCUGGGCAGGUUUACUUAAGAUGUAAGCCCCACUGAGAUCAAUGAGACUUAGGCUGCAUACAUGCCAUACACUGAAAGCACACGACUCCCUCCCCUUCAAAGAAUUCUGCCAAAUGUAGUUUGUUAAGGGUAUUAAGAACUGUAGCUCUGUGAGAGAUAAACUACACUUCCCAGGAUUCUUUGGGGGGAGUAAUGGGGGGAAUGGGUUAAAAAUGUAGUAGCAAUAAUAAUUUGCACUAUCACAAUAAUGUUGACUUUUUAAAAAAGAUUGGGCUGCCUAAGUUUUGUUUCAUAAACAUAAAACAAAACAGUACGGUCAUACCUUGGAUCCCAAAUGCCUUGGUACUCAGACAUUUUGGCUCCUAAAUGCCGCAAACCCAGAAGUGAGUUGUCUGGUUUGUGAACGUUUUUUGGAACCUGAAUGUCCAACGGGGCUUUCGUGGCUUCCAAGUGGCUGCAGGAGCUUCCUGCAGCCAAUUGGAAGCCGUGCUUUGGCUUCCAAACAUUUUGGAAGUUGAAUGGACUUCUGGAACAGAUUCCAUUCGACUUCCAAGGCACAACUGUGCUUCAUUGUUCUUUCUGUGGUUCAAAUAUGAGCCUAAUGGAUUCACUGUGGUUGCAUACAUGCUAACCUAUCUGUAGCACAAAAAUGUGUUUUUUCUCAAUAUGGAAUCAUUUAUGCUUGUCCUCAAUAUGCUGCUUUCAAUACAGAUUGAUUCUGAAUCCUGCCAUCCACAAAGGUAUAUAGUUACUUUAUACCUCUUUGAAAACCCUUCCCCUGAUUAGGUUGUCCACACCUUUCCCUUCUUGCAGAUGCUCCAGGUUAAUGGAGGAGAACAUGGUGGUUUCAGUCUUGGUAUACAUCCACCCACAACAUCAUUUGGCAGGUGUGGGGACACGGACACAAACACAAUUGCUGGUACUGCCUACAUCUGUUUUGAAAUGGACACACUGUGGGAGAAAUGCAGAAUCAAACUGCAAUGAGUUUUUCUUUUUGGAAUGGAAUCAGUUUCUCAAGGAGUAGAAUUCAGAGGCCAAAAAUCUGCAAGAAAUCUAGAUUGUACGUGGACUACACGGGGGGUGGGGACCCAAGUACUCAGUCUCUGUGGUUUCUAGAAUAAAAAUAAGAAUGUCUGUACCACGAGAGUGUAAGAAACAUUUGAAUCCCAGUGGGUGGGAAGCUUUUAUCAGUUAAAACAAGGUGCUUUAAAUUGCAACUGUGAUUUCAAACUGGGAUGACACAGACCUUCAAAGCUCGUCAUGAAGAGGUCUAUUUAGUGUUGCUCAAAGUAAUAAAUAUCACAGCGGAGGCCCUCGCUGAAAUGUAAUUUUGGAGUGAGAAAGAGGAUUUUAGGUCAGCAUGGAUGCUGACAGCAAUUCUCACGCACGUUCCUUUCUCUGAGCUCUUUCUAUGGACCCACCCUUGGUUUUGCUAUUUUCUUCUAAGCCAAGGUGAAGGUGAACGAUUGUCUGCUGAAUAGCAAAAAUAGCACAUUUGCACAUUGUUGGGAAGAAAAGUACAAAGAUCUCUCACAAACCAAACAGAAAGAAAACCACUUCAUUUUUGUAUAUGUUUGCCUGUUGUGGUAGCAAGCACUGAAAGCCCUCACUGAAUUAGAAAGAACAAUAUUAAAUACCAGCCAGUAAAGCAAAAGGGGUGUAGCAUGAGGGAUGCCAGUGGGGCCAUGCCUCUAGGCAUGGUUUUUUGAGGGGGUGCAAAGCAGGCACCCCCGGCAGAUGCCCCCAGUGCAGCCUGGCCUAGCACUCCUCUCCCAGAGUUGGAGGAAUCAACACUUGCGGAGAGAAGCAUUGGGCUGCGCUGGGCUGGGGGCACCAACAUACAGUGGCGUAGCAAGGUCAGGUGGUACCCGGUGAAGAAUUUUUUUGUCACGCACCCCACAUUGAAAUUCCCCCUUCCUCCCUCUACCCCCAUCAAAGAAAGCCGCACAGGCAGCUAUCUGAUGUAGAUCCUGCCUUUCCCCCCUCCCUCCCUCCACACCCUGUCAAAGAAAGCCAUGCCCUGCCCUCCUCCAGCACCCCGGGAGCAUGGGGGGCAAUGGCGCGCCACCCACCCAUGACUCCCAAGCCUCCCCUGAGCUGUCAAAAGGAAGGGGAAAGGGUGGAAAGCCGCCGGCAAAGCAGCACAGCUAGCCACCUUCCUCUGACGGCUCAGGGUAGGCUUGGGAGUCGCAGGCGGGCAGCGCGCCGAAUGUCACCCCCUCAGUGUGUAUGUGUGUGCGGCUGUGCUUGAAGCAACUCAACCACGAGGCAACUCAACCCUGCUCAGUUCCACAGGCAGCGUUGAGUUGCAUUUUGUAAAAAAAACACUCAUUGAUGGCACCCGGGGAAGUCUGCCCCCACCGCACCCCCUUCCUCCGCCAGUGCCAGCAUGGUGACACCAGGUUUGCGCCCACCAAGUGUUGGCUGGCCAGGCUGAACCCUGUGCAGGCAGGCAGGCGGCACAGCACAGCCCUACUUGGCUUCAGUGUGGGGCAGGGUCGCUCCACCGGGGUCAGUGGCAAGGGCUGGGGUGUCAUGACUGGAUCCUUCACCCUUUGCACUCCGUGCCCCGCCCCCAGUGUGUGCAUACCCCCUGGCACACGUGCAUGCCUGCCCCAGGCUCCAGGAGCUCACACUAAGGCUGAACUAGCAUGUGGGUUUUCCCCCCAGAGAAAACUGUGCCCAGAUUUUGCAAUUCCCUUCCAAGGACGCCCCCCCCCUUGCCAUAUUGCAAUUGCCUGCAGCCUAACUAUUGCAGAUGCAAACAGUGUUGCAACUGGGGUCGAAUGUAACUUCUCCAAUACUACCAUGAACCGAAAUCAUCAUAGAUGUACAAUAAAAUGAUGUUUGAUGGGCACACCUACCUACGAGUCAACUCUGUUGAACAUGGUGGGGACAUGUCUCUGAGUGUAUGUGCAUAGAAUGGUGCUGCUAAUAUGUGGUUUGCUAAUGUUUUACUUAGUGGUUUAAUCAGCCCUGAUUAAAGUCCAACCACACCUGGAGGGCUACAGUUCCCCAAGCCUGCUUUUCUGAUGUAAAUGCUAUGGUAAAAAGAAUAGCCAAUACAGUGCUAUCCAGAUCUUUUUGGGCUCCAAAUCCAGCCAGGAUGGUCAGGGAUGGUGGGUGUCGUCAUCCAAUGACAUCUGGAGGGGUCCACCUUGGCAUAAUUCUUCCUUGCCUUUUUUUAACUUACCAGAGAAACAAGCAAGGCUCAGCUCUUCAUUUCAAGCAGUUCUGUUCCUUUAGCUGUCCUUUGUUUAUGCGGUGCUAACACUGCAGAGCUCAGUAUGACUCAGCGGCAAUGUAACCAGUGAGUCAUAACUGUGGUCUGCUUUCUUGAUUGAGUCUGAACAACCCACCUAUUCCCCUUGCCUGGCCUAUUUUCUGCAAGGCCUUAAGGGAGGAGGGUUGAGUCCUCAAUAUUUCCAUACUGAUGAACAUCCUAGUCACAGAACUCUUGCAUCCUGGCAGCUUCUUUAUUUCCAUUUAUAUUGCUGACCAGAGAAGCUUUAACCCUUAAAGUCACCUUGAUGUAAAAAUCCAACCAAAAGUAGGCCCAUUACAUACUUAAGAUCCUUUGAAAUCAAUGGGACAGUCCAUUGACUCCCUGAGCAGCUCUCUGACCCAAAUGAGUCACUACACCAGGCAAGGAACAUGUCCUCCUUUGCACCUGCAUUCUAACAUCAUCACAUUUUGUGUUUCCAAUCCAUACUUUUGCCAGUGGCAUCAAACAAUGCAUGGCAGGUGUGGGCAAAUGAAUGGUGUGAGCGUGUUAUGAUCAGCCAGGUAUCAUGUCUACUCUGAAGUGAGCUGUACUGAGCAGCACUGAGUUUCUUCUAAAUAAGUGGGUAUAGGAUUGCCGCCUCUGUAUUAUGCGGGGAGGGCAGGGGAAACUCCAUAUGGGCUGCCAUUUUCAACUGUAACCCAACUCCAGGCCAACCAGCCACUCAGUAGCUCAAACUUAUUUGCUAAAAACUAUUGGCCAUUAUGAAACUACAAAAGGAAAGGACUUGAUCAUCUUCACAUCACACAAUGGAAAUAAAACGUAUGGACAAUGACUUUGUCUGAGACACUAAUUAAGAGAAUACAUGCCCUGAAUGACGCAACUGAUGCAAAUGAUUUUGCUGAAAAUUCCUCCGGGGAGAGAGCCAUCUCCUGUUGAUGGGUUUGCAAUGGCAUGUUAAGAUUUCUUUAUCCCACAGGAUAGCUGGGGCUCUCUGGGCUGUUGUAAUGGUGAUGGGGUGUUCAUUCCACUCUCCAUCCUGACCACUGAGCCAUUGUAUCAUAGGUUAGGGUUACCAGACUCCCCAGUUCCCGGGGACAGUCCCCGGAUUUGCAAAUCUGUCCCCGGACAAAUUCUGUCCCCGGAAUGUCCCCAGAUUUGCAAAUCUGUCCCCGGGAAACGUGGCAGCGUCAGCCUCAGCAGCCCAGAGGCAGCCUGGUAGCGCAGUUGGCUCUGGCUGGCUUCAGGAGCUGCUCGCCAGCCAGAGUCAACUGCGCUACCAGGCUGGCUCCAGGCUGCUGACUGCCACUGCCACAGCCACUGCCAAAGGGGAACAGGGGACGUCUGGCGGUACAGAUCUCCUGCCCCCUUCCCCCUUUGUUUUGACUGAUUGGGGGAAGCUUGGGAGUUGCGGGCGGGUGACCAUUGCCCAGUUUUUUUAAAACUCUGAGCAUUUAUGUUUCACAGGGUGUGAAAGAAGGGCUUUGCAUGUGUGCUUGGGCCCAGGGUCUUUUGCCUCACCAUCCCCACUACUGACUCCCUGUUGCUACUCAGCUUAAAAACAAAACAAAAACGUGUCCCCGGAUUCAUUGAAAAAAAUCUGGUAACCAUAUAAUAGGUGCCAACUGCCUGGGGCCCCGGGUGCCCAAGCACCCACAAAAUUCCUCAUGAAGGGGCCGGGCACCCACAAAUUUCAGUGCCAGGGCCCUGCAUGGUGCAUGACACCCAUGGCCCCAGGCACCCACACCGUGGGGCCAAGCUGGCACUCCUGCAUUGUUUCACUUUUGCUUUAUUGAUUGCGUUGAUAUUGUCUUUUAAGCACGCAUCUAGUUUUUUAAUGCUCUAAGCCAUCUUGAAGUGCUUUGAAGAGAACUAUUUUAGCGAAGGAAUAAGUGAAUGACAUAACCUAAUGUUUCUAGUCUCACUCAGAGAUUGGGGAGGAAUUUGAUUCCGUUCAGUUUUAAAGGUAACCGUAUAAUGAGCACUUUCCAGAACAAUAUCCCAAGGGAAACACAACUAUCUUUUGAAAUCCACGCUUUCCUGAAUUUUGCAUUGCAGUUUACAGCCUAUAUGCAAAAAUGCAUAUACUGAGGGAGUGUGUGCAUAAAACUGCAUAGCUUAGUAAAAUAGCAUGCAAAGAUGCAGUAUAAUAGAAAACACUGGUUUGCAAAAAUGUGUGUACUGUAUUGGGCAAAAUUGCAUAGAAAAAUGUGUGCGUUAGGAGAAAUUUGCACUAAAAUGGUAAUAAGUUUUUAUGAGGACUUAAAAAAGAAAAGAAUCACAAACUCAUAUGGAAAUGUAGAGAACUGAAUUUAAGACUGGGAAAAUGAGAAACUGGGAUAAAUCCCCAUGGACAAAUUUGCUUAUCUCUGUUCUCAACUCAUGGAUACAAAACAGCAAGUACUGAAGGAAGAUCCCCACUUACAUACCCAGGGACAUAGCCUUUUAAGGUUAAGAUCAGCUCACAUCCCUCUAAUAACUGUGUACAACCAGAGACAAUAGCUAAACAAACAAACAAAUGAAUAACCCCCUCCAUUAAUAAUGGUGAUUUGCACGCCUCUGUUUUCCCCAAUGUUCAGUCCUCUUAGGGUUGUACCAUUUCAGGAUGGGGUGUGUGUGUCACAGGAUCAAAUGCUCCUAAAUGUAAAAGAAACAUUUCCUGCAAACUAGGGUGCCAUGAAGAAAUCUAGUCGAGAACUCUUGUUGCUUCACAUUCCAGCUUCUCAUAAAGCUGGAAGGGAAAGCAUUUCAUUAUGAAUUCUGAAAUGGUACAGUCCCAGGUGGUCUCUACCACAUUUUGGUUGAAAUUGAGUGUACAGCAGCCCACUGAGAAUGUAUCUCAGGGCACAUUUCCUUCAGCAGGUGCAAUGGCAUAACUGCCAAUUUCCCCCUACAAAUCUCAGCACACUAAAGUAAUUUAAAGCACCAUGGCUGAAUAUGUGAUCAUUCUGCUAAACACACACACACACACACACACACACAGAGAGAGAGAGAGAGAGAGAGAGAAUGUCUUAUACAUUUUGUCUCAUAUACUUAAAAGCCUGCAUUUUUUAAAAAAUAGAAUUUAACAGCAAAGCACAGCAUUGUAGCGUUGUGAAAUUUCCCUGCUCAAAAGCACUCCAUUAUUCAGGGGAGAAUGAGAAUCAGUAUAAUGUACCCCAAAGAACAAAUCACUGGUGAGUAACAGACGAGCAAGCAAGAUUGCAGCUGAAUGUGAAGUUGGGAAAACAAUCAGCAUUUACGCAUAAAUUAUUUGUUAAUAAGUGGAAGCGGUUGGGGGUAAAUGGCAAGAAAAUUGCUUCAGCCCAAAGGUGCAGCCACUGCUAUAAUCCUGGCAGGUGUCAGCAUCUACCUCCUCUGUCCCCUGGUAAGCUCUCUUUGUGGAAUCCACUAGGAUAGUAUCAGAGGAGCACCAGGGAUGUGCUGGAGGAACCCCAAAUGGCACCUAGCCCAAGGCUUCCUCAAAACUAGCACUGGUCUAGCAUCUCAGGCUAAGCAGAUGUUGCUUCUUCGAGGAAUGGAGUAAGGGAGAGAGAUGGCUGCCUCCUCUGUGCUAUUUUGUCACCUGCACAGAUGAAGCCACGCCCACCUCUGGUCACAUGUAAAGGAAGUCUGUCUGAGCCCAGGAGGAAACAGGAAGUUCCAACUGGCUGGUCCAGACAUCCCCUUUUUAUGUCCACUCUAGGAAUGUUGUAUUUGACUGCUCUGUGUUUCACAUCCCACAAAAAAUAGAUUAAGAUCCUAGUUGCUUCAUACCAACAACAUCUGGAGGGCUACAGGUUACUCACCUGUGAUUUAUAAGUUGCUGCUAUUGUUAACUAAUUGGGAAUCAGAAAUCCUUGGUGAUCUAUCACAAAUCACCCCGGGAUCUACCUUCUGCCUACCUCUGCUCUAUAUUAUCUAACUAAACUUUAAUAAAAUGUGCCACUGUAAAACUGUUCCUUUAAAAAUCAAGAGAUAAAUUUUGAUUCUCCCUCUUUAAGGGCUACAUUUGCUAAAUCUGUACACAACAGCCAUCAUAUGCACGCCACAGAACACACAAAUUACUUUUCAAACUAAAAGAGAUUUUUUUCUUAGUUUCAAGGUGUUUUCAUUAUCAUAACAAAGAACCGAUUCUCAAAAGAACCUGCAGGUGCCUUUGAAUAUAUUACAAAUGCUUAACAAAAACAUAAUUGUCCAAAGUGGGGUGGGGGGGACUCCUUAUUUGUUCUCAGUCUUGGUUAGAUUAUGUCUCAAAAGUACUUUCUGAAUACAGAGUUGUCGUCAUCCAUUUUAUCAUAACAGUAAGAGCGGGCAUAAACCUUUGCAGUAGGUAACCAAUCAGUGGCUCUCCAAUUGUUCCUUGAUAUGCUACCAUGCGACCUCUUCGUGAGUGUUACCCUGAUUGGUUUGCAAGGUUGCAAGACAACUCUGGCUGUUUCUGAGCAUUCAUUCAGAUAUGUAUGAACGGAGGGAAUGUGGUGUUGCAAGUGUCGUUCCACACUUCCCAGUGCAUUUUGCUGCUACUUUCCUUUUCGCAAAAAGGCUGGUCACUUGGGGAAGUGGGUUUGUCGCAGAAAUCUUUUGUCGCACAAGAUUUCCCAGUCAAAUAUACUUGUGCAACCUGUAUUUGGCAGUGUGUGAUUGAAUCCCACCCGAAGACAGCAAAAGUCUGGAAAUGCCCAGCAACAUCCAUCACCCCGAUGGAUUGUAGGACUACGGGUCCUUCCACUUUCAUUAAAACAGUAAACUAGCUGCUAUUUUAAACAGUUUCUUUGAACAGGAUCUAAGUAGCAGUAUUCUAAAUAGUUGUCAGUUCUUAGUUUCUCUGCUAAAUAAUUAUUAGUGAUGCUCUGUUAGCCGCUUUGAAACUCCCUUAAAGGGAGUGAAAGGCGGGAUAUCAAAUCCAAACUCCUCCUCCUCCUCUUCUUCUUCUUCUUCUUCUUCUUCUUCUUCUUCUUCUUCUUUCAAGAAGUUCUGCCCAGACUAAACAGUAUUAAUUUUGCUGUUUGUGUUCCCCCGUUUUCCCACCCCCAUCUCCAAAUACACACCACCCCUAUAGUCAGUCUGCCCCCUGUGGCCUUUACUUGGGGUCUGGCAACCAAUCCCCGCUACCCCCAAGUCCACAGGAAAAAACCAAAACACCCAGAAGUUGACAAUGGUCCGCAUAUGAUAUCCUUUUACUGCCUCCUCUAAAUGUUUCCAUUAUAGGAUUCUGAAAUCCUGUUUGUACUGAAGAGACAUACCCUGCAAAAAAAUAUGACGACGUUUUAGCCAGAGUUUACUGUUAUAAAGUGAAGGCAAUUCAACAUGAGAACCCUGGGGAAAGCUCUUAGGAAAGCUUGCAUGUGCUGUUUGUGGUGAGGCUUUGCUGCCGCAGGUACAUUGCCAUAUACAGUGCUACCUCGGGUUAAGAACUUAAUUCAUUCUGGAGGUCCGUUCUUAACCCAAAACAGUUCUUAACCUGAGGUACCACUUUAGCUAAUGGGACCUCCUGCUGCCACUGUGCCGCCGCCGCACGAUUUCUGUUCUCAUCCUGAAGCAAAGUUCUUAACCUGAGGUACUAUUUCUGGGUUAGCGGAGUCUGUAACCUGAAGCGUCUGUAACCUGAAGCACCACUGUAACAGAAAAUGAUUGAGGACAUGGAGCCCGACCCCAAAGUGAUUUUUAGAUAUGUGUUUAGUUUCGUAUUGAAACAGGCUACGCUGUAGUUUUUCCUGUUCCCGCUAGGGGGAGGUUUCAAUUUCAGCCGUUGGGACAAGCAUCUCUGCCUAGGAACAGGGAACUGUUGCUUUUUCCAAGAUCAAGAAUGUUCUUUGUGUAUCAGCAGGUUUUCAGAACUCAGUAAUAACUUGACAGAGUAGGCUAACAGUACAGGGGGCAGAUGUAUUCCAAAUAAGCAAUAUGAAUCUGGAAGCAAUGAGUCUCAGAGACGUUGUUGCAAGAAGUUGAUGCAAAAUGGGUAAUCUACCCCUCUGUCUACCACGCUCAAUGAGGGCUCCAAUCAUUCAUUAAUAACAGGAACUUAACUAACCUAGUGUACAAUGAUGAUCACCUCCGGUGCAUUUUCGAAUGCCUCCAAUAACCUUCUAAUUGUGUGCAGGCUAACCUGGUGUCUAGCAUGAUUGCAAUGGGGCCACUGGGAACGGGAAUGGGAGAGCGGCUGCAGUGACUUGGCGGUGAUUGAUUGCCUUCAUUCCCAUUUUAUUCCCAGCGCUAGGUGCGCACGGCUUCUUCCACGGUGCAAUUUAAUGAGAUUUGCGACAUGGAUACCCUGGCUAAACCGUUCAGGCUGGAAGUUUUCAUUUGCUAGUCUACAUUUCUUCUGAUGAGUCUUGAGAGAGUUUGACUCCGGCAAGAUUAGUGAGGAAAGGGGGCAGGAAAAGUGAAGGGCGUUUGUCUGGUUUUGGGACAGAGGAUCAUCACUGUGUUUAUUUGUGUAUUUCAUGUAGAGAUUAAGGCGCAGAUUGAUAGGUGAAGGGUCUCGGGGAAUGAGAAGCACAAAGUCUGUUUGGAACUGUCCCGUUCCCUUUGAAAAUCCCCCGCUGUGCUUUCCUGCAGAGCUGACAUGUUGGCUGAGUUCUUCCUGUCUGCAAAACAAAACAAAAAGUCUGUUUUUCUUUUUUCUUUUUUUUUAAAAAAAGCCCUGCCCCCCCAAACCAAGCACGUAUUAAUCUAAUACAGAUUAGAUUGUCCUAAAGGCCAAAAAAGACACCUAGAUGGUCAUGCCUUCAAAUCGAUCAGCUAUAAUAACUCAAGGGUCAUCGUCAGUGGAAGUAAACCUACAUUUAAAUCUGCCAUUCAAAAAUCACAACCAUUUGAAUGUGUCAACACCAGAGAUUGCAGUCAGCCUGAAUAAGGGAUGGAUAUUCUCUUAUUUUCCUGUCUGCCUUGAAAGAAAACGAAAGCCCAUUUGUUGUUACUCUUCAGUGUGUGUUAAUGGACUUUAUGAAACAAUCACAGGAUAAAGAUAAUAUAUGAACAUAAGUCAUACCCUCCAACAUGCCCAGGUCAAAAUCUGGGGAGCACUCCCAGGCAAGUCACAUGACUGCACACCCAUGGCACAAGGUUGCGGCACCCAAACUGGCUGCCAUGCCCUAGCGUGAAAAAUGGGAUGUCCAAUUUUCCAGGGACAGUUGAGGGGUACCCAAAAUUGUAAUGAUAGAGACCACAAGACUUUCUGAUACUACCUUCAAUUUUGUCUAGGGACGGAUAGUUCCAUCAGUUUCAGUUUCUUGUGAUGUCUAAUUUUUCCCAGUCUUAAAUUCUGUUAGCUACAUUUCUGCAUUAGAUUAGUUUUUCAAAAGAAUCAUAAAAAUUCAAUCAGCCUUUUCGUCUGCAUUUCUUCUAAUAUACACAUUUCUGCAAGUCAUUUCUCCUAAUAUAAUGUAUUUUGUAUGCUGUUUUUCACUAAUGUGAACAUUUUAAAUGCAUGCUUUCCCUAAUAUACACUUUUUUGUUGGAGAAAUGUGCAGCAAAAUUAAGAGAAGCACAAAUGUUGAAGGACAAUUAUAUUUCAGGCUGCUUAUUAUAUUUGAAGUGUAAACAAAGUAGGCAUGCAUCAUGCAAACCAAACCAAAUUUCUUUUAUUGCUUUAGACUUCAAUCCUAACCUCAAUCCUAAUCCUAGGAGGAAGGCCCACUGAAUUCAAUAGGACUUACUUCUGAGUAGAUUUGGAUAGGUGCUGUCAAGAUCAUUAACAGCUUGAAGCAGAGAUCCAGGUGUAAAAAAAUGGUAGAGACAAAGGACCCCUUGACAGUUAAGUCCAGUCAAAGGCGACUAUGGGGUUGUGGCGCUCAUCUCGCUUCAGGUCGAGGGAGCCGGCGUUUGUCCACAGACAGCUUUCUGGGUCAUGUAGCCAGCAUGACUAAACUGCUUCUGGCACAACAGAACACCAUGAUGGAUACCAGAGCACACGGAAACGCCAUUUACCUUCCUGCCGGAGCAGUACCUAUUUAUCUACUUGCACUGGCAUGCUUUUGAACUGCUAGGUUGGCAGGAGCUGGGACCGAGCAACAGGAGCUAACUCCGUCAUGGGGAUUCGAACUGCCUACCUUCUAUAUGGCAAGUCCAAGAGGCUCAGUGGUUUAGACCACAGUGGCAUCAGCAUUCCUACUCUGAUGUACACUCUUAUCUCUUUAAGAGAUCAGAGAGUAAAGUCUGAUCAUAGGCAUGUCACCGUCACUGGAAUGAAGCCAUUGUUGUUGGGUGAGAGCUCCGUGCCUAUUUUAGAGUGUCCAUGCCUUAAAAAAAAAUGCUAGGGCGGGCCAGUAAUUUUCCUUAAAAAGCUAUAUCACAUCUGUUGCUGCUUAAAAAUGUGAACUAGAAUUGGUAUUUUCCAUUUAUUCUUGCAAGUUGUAGGAUGCUUUAAAAAGGGGGAGAAAAAAGAAUAACACGUUUUUAGCAAACCUUGCUGAACUUUUUAUGCAUGGAAGGGUUUUUAUCUUUCUUACAUAUAAAUGUGUUGGUCAUUGUCUUUUAAUUGUUCUAAUGGCUUUUAUAUAUCAAAAUGUGCCAUUGUUUUUCUUUUAAGAUCGCUUCCAGAUAUUUGAUGGGAAGUGAUGCACAAAUGGAAUUAAAUAAAUGAAUAGAUCCACUUUGAAAUUUAUCAACGUUAUGCAACUGGGUUGUUAUUUCCAUCCAGUUGUGGCAGCCAAAAAAGCUGUCAGGAUCGCUCUAGAAAAGGCUACAGUUGCCAUUAUUUCCACUCCAGCUACAAGCAGGAUGGAGAGGAAAUGUCACAAGAAGAUCUGUUCCCAUGUGAUACCUCCCAGCAGUCUUUUACUGACUUCAUAUCAUUUGGAUAAGUUUCAAGGCAACUCUGUAUAGGGUAUGCAGCUACGCAAAUGCAGAGGAAAUGGCUUGUGUCUGCUUUCUGUCUGCAUCUUCCAAGUCAGGACUGUCUGCGAUAAUCCACAGGAGGCAGCACUGUGUUCAAGGCGGCCUGCUAUAUGAGAGACCCUCUUUGCUUUUAGUAAUCAGAACUAAUUCAAUAUGGGUCAUUUAUUCUCCAAACACUAGCAUGUCGUGCAGAUGAACUUAAUAAUGCUGCAUUGCAAGUGUCUGCAUAAUUAAAGCCAGGAAAUAACAUUGGAUGUUAUUUUCUAAGUGGCAUUAAUGAAAGUACUUUUUCACCCAAUUCACAAUUAAUAUAUGCAAUUUGUGGCUACAAGAGGUGGUGGUGACCAGAAGUCUAGUGUCAAAUUACACUUGACAUUAAACAAGUGGCAUAAGAGUGUGUUUUUCUUCUACAGCUGAUAGCAGCUGGGGACCCUAAUCAUAGCAGCACAAUGAUGAUUUCAUUGUUACUGAUUACUGAUAAUCUCAUUGUUUUAUUCUUUUUGUGAACCGCUUUGAGGUUCUUCUUUUUUCCACAAUCAGUAUAUACAUAAAUAAAUGGGAUGGGAGGGUCUUUCCUUCCACUCUGCAAUAGUGAUUAAUAUUGCCCCUCUGAAGCUGCUACUUGGCAGGUGCAUAAAGCCUCCAUAGGUGCCAGUGGUAGCUGUUCUCCCAUGCCAUAUAGGAGCUUUAAAAGACAGAUUUCUUUGUAGAGAUGAUGGUAUGGGAGGACAAGGCAAAUCCUCCACAUGUUUCAAAGUCACAUGUAGCUGGGCCCCAUGUUGACUUUAUAGGUGGUGCUGUGGUCUAAACCACUGAGCCUCUUGGGCUUGCUGAUCAGAAGGUCGGCGGUCCGAAUCCCCGCAACGAGGUGAGCUCCCGUUGCUUGGUCCCUGCUCCUGCCAACCUACAAGUUUGAAAGCACGCCAAAAAGUGCAAGUAGAUAAAUAGGUACCGCUCUGGCGGGAAGGUAAACGGCGUUUCCGUGUGCUGCUCUGGUUUCAGUGUUCCGUUGUGCCAGAAGUGGCUUAGUCAUGCUGGCCACAUGACCUGGAAAUACUGUCUGCAGACAAACGCCGGCUCCUUCGGCCUGUAAAGUGAGAUGAGCACCGCAACCCCAGAGUCGUUUGCGACUGGACUAACUGUCAGGGGUCUUUUACCUUUUUAGACAAAUACAUGGGGAAUAGUUCAUAGCCAUUAUGCAGCUAAUAACCAUAUUACAGCUACUAGCCAUAAUUUGGAUUACUAGAAGUUGUUGGGACUCCUCCACAACAAACCUACUUCCCCUAAGAAUUGGACUUUUUGCAAAAAGUGACAGGAAAAUGUGCCUGAAUGUUUGGGGGAAGUUUGCUUGGCGCAACACCAUUACCUUCUCUGUAAACAAAUCAGAAUGAAUACUCAAUGUCUACUCUCCCUGCAGGGAGAUCAGGAUGAAUGCUAGUAAGCAGGUUGUCUGGAAGUGACAUUAUAGGGGUAUAGAUGUGCUUGGAUUCAGCAGCUCAACAACACCAUGUGCCUUUAAAUUAUUCUUUGGCAAUCUUGUCCCCACUUCUUUGAGAACAGUGUCUACUGAAGCUGAUCCAUCGACUGUGCAUCCAACACAGGAGAAACAGGUUGUGCAGCCAAACUCAACAGAACUGAAAUCCUAAACAAUUCCUGCAGGGAACUGGUAUGUGCAGCCAACACAGAACUGAAUCCCAUGCUUUGCCCAUCAGCUGACAUCACCUGCCCAUUGGAGUGAUGUAGCCUGACUGACAGGUGGGUGUGGCUUUGAUAAAAUAGUCUCAUGGGCCAAAUUGGAGCACCCAGAGGGUCAAGAUUGUCCUGUGGGACAGAGGUUCCCCACUACUGCUCUUUAAUACAAUCUCAAACAUAUCUGGGAGUAAGCCCUGUUGAAUUCAAUAGGGCUUACUUCUGAGUAGACCUGGUUACUAUUGUGCUGGAGUCUACAACCUGAUGUGCCCUCUAUAUCCGUCCCAGGGGCAAUCAUUACAUCAUGUUGUUGUUGUUGUUGUAUGUUUAUACCCCACCUUUUCCUCUGACAGGGACCCAAGACUGCUUACAAAUAAAAGUAAGAACGGCUAGUCAUUCAGGUCAGUAC